rnacentral:rRNA from 1 species
GCAGUCGAACGAUGAACCACUUCGGUGGGGAUUAGUGGCGAACGGGUGAGUAACACGUGGGCAAUCUGCCCUUCACUCUGGGACAAGCCCUGGAAACGGGGUCUAAUACCGGAUAUCACUUCCACUCGCAUGGGUGGGGGUUGAAAGCUCCGGCGGUGAAGGAUGAGCCCGCGGCCUAUCAGCUUGUUGGUGAGGUAAUGGCUCACCAAGGCGACGACGGGUAGCCGGCCUGAGAGGGCGACCGGCCACACUGGGACUGAGACACGGCCCAGACUCCUACGGGAGGCAGCAGUGGGGAAUAUUGCACAAUGGGCGAAAGCCUGAUGCAGCGACGCCGCGUGAGGGAUGACGGCCUUCGGGUUGUAAACCUCUUUCAGCAGGGAAGAAGCGAAAGUGACGGUACCUGCAGAAGAAGCGCCGGCUAACUACGUGCCAGCAGCCGCGGUAAUACGUAGGGCGCAAGCGUUGUCCGGAAUUAUUGGGCGUAAAGAGCUCGUAGGCGGCUUGUCACGUCGGGUGUGAAAGCCCGGGGCUUAACCCCGGGUCUGCAUUCGAUACGGGCUAGCUAGAGUGUGGUAGGGGAGAUCGGAAUUCCUGGUGUAGCGGUGAAAUGCGCAGAUAUCAGGAGGAACACCGGUGGCGAAGGCGGAUCUCUGGGCCAUUACUGACGCUGAGGAGCGAAAGCGUGGGGAGCGAACAGGAUUAGAUACCCUGGUAGUCCACGCCGUAAACGGUGGGAACUAGGUGUUGGCGACAUUCCACGUCGUCGGUGCCGCAGCUAACGCAUUAAGUUCCCCGCCUGGGGAGUACGGCCGCAAGGCUAAAACUCAAAGGAAUUGACGGGGGGCCCGCACAAGCAGCGGAGCAUGUGGCUUAAUUCGACGCAACGCGAAGAACCUUACCAAGGCUUGACAUACACCGGAAAGCAUUAGAGAUAGUGCCCCCCUUGUGGUCGGUGUACAGGUGGUGCAUGGCUGUCGUCAGCUCGUGUCGUGAGAUGUUGGGUUAAGUCCCGCAACGAGCGCAACCCUUGUUCUGUGUUGCCAGCAUGCCCUUCGGGGUGAUGGGGACUCACAGGAGACCGCCGGGGUCAACUCGGAGGAAGGUGGGGACGACGUCAAGUCAUCAUGCCCCUUAUGUCUUGGGCUGCACACGUGCUACAAUGGCAGGUACAAUGAGCUGCGAUACCGUGAGGUGGAGCGAAUCUCAAAAAGCCUGUCUCAGUUCGGAUUGGGGUCUGCAACUCGACCCCAUGAAGUCGGAGUUGCUAGUAAUCGCAGAUCAGCAUUGCUGCGGUGAAUACGUUCCCGGGCCUUGUACACACCGCCCGUCACGUCACGAAAGUCGGUAACACCCGAAGCCGGUGGCCCAACCCCUUGUGGGAGGGAGC